UACGGAAGGCAGCAGUGGGGAAUAUUGCACAAUGGGCGAAAGCCUGAUGCAGCUAUGCCGCGUGUAUGAAGAAGGCCUUAGGGUUGUAAAGUACUUUCAUCGGGGAGGAAAAAACAAAACUAAUAAUUUUAUUUCUUGACGUUACCCGAAAAAGAAGCACCGGCUAACUCCGUGCCAGCAGCCGCGGUAAUACGGAGGGUGCUAGCGUUAAUCAGAAUUACUGGGCGUAAAGAGCACGUAGGUGGUUUUUUUAAGUCAGAUGUGAAAUCCCUGGGCUUAACCUAGGAACUGCAUUUUGAAACUGAAAUACUAGAGUAUCGUAGAGGGAGGUAGAAUUCUAGGUGUAGCGGUGAAAUGCGUAGAUAUCUGGAGGAAUACCUGUGGCGAAAGCGGCCUCCUAAACGAAUACUGACACUGAGGUGCGAAAGCGUGGGGAGCAAACGAGGAUUAGACUAC
rnacentral:rRNA from 1 species